rnacentral:rRNA from 1 species
AUAGCGUAUAUUAAACUUGUUGCAGUUAAAAAGCUCGUAGUUGUAUUUUUGCCUUGACGGUUUGACCAUUUGGUUGGUUAUUUCGUUUUCUCUUUUGGGAAUUUCCCUUUUUACUUUGAGAAAAUUAGAGUGUUUCAAGCAGACUUUUGUCUUGAAUACUUCAGCAUGGAAUAAUAGAGUAGGACUUUGGUUCUAUUUUGUUGGUUAUUGAACCUUAAUAAUGGUUAAUAGGAACACUUGGGAGCAUUCGUAUUUAACUGUCAGAGGUGAAAUUCUUAGA